UGUGCCUCAGUAGCUGGUAGUAUUCAGCAAAGAGCUGUGGAUUUGGAGCCUAAGCUCUCAGAGAGCCAUAAAAGGAUCAUAUGAAGGACAAGUUUAGAAAGGCUUUAAGUCACAAAAUAGUAUAUAGAUGUUGUAUGGUAUUCUAAUAGCACCCCUCUCUACUAGAGCCCCCCCCACAACACACACACACAUGAAUUUAAAUGUCAAUAUUGUUUCCUCUGGUCAGCAUGAGCAACACUAUUUUACGAGGAGUCCUUUAACAUCAGGAUUUCCUCCCAUUAUUUUAGCUGACAUUAGUUGGUUGUCAUAUUGUUGGAUGUGACAUUUUCCUGAAAUUCUGAGUUAAUGUACUUUCAUAGAAUUGUUAGAUUUCUGGCUUGCUUUCUUUUUUAAGAAUCAUAGAAGAAGAAGGAGAAAAAAAAAUCAAAAGGUAGAAGACCCUGUACCAUCCACUUAGGACAGUCUAAGUAAAAGGCAAAUGCAAACUUAAUAGAAUAUAUAAAUUUUAAAAUAGAAAUGGGCAUUUUAAAAUUUAAAGUGGAGAAAGUUUCGUUAUUGCACUCCUAUCUACCUUUGAAAUGGAUUUCUACAGAGUUUCUUCUUUUAUGAGGGAAGAAGGUUACUAUGAAGCUGGAAGUCAAGUGUGGUGAAUUUCAGCCACAGGACAGGUGUAGGGAGAUGUGAAGGGGAGCAAAACAAAAGUCAUUUUGUGGUAAGAACCUGUGGAUCAUCACCCUCGACCCUCUCAGGGAAGAAUAGACAUUCCUAUCAUGAUGUAGACUCUUGCAGAGAUUUUAUCAGACCCCAGGAGAGGCUCAGCUCAGGUAAGCUGGUGGAUCCAUGACACGUUCCCCGCCUGGGCCAUCACGUUAGAGUUCACAGCCUGCCCCAAACAAGGGGAUAGUUUGGGAAGACUCAUGGGGACAUUUCUUGUAAAGAUCCCUAGCUAGCCACUUGGGUUCUUUCUCGCAUGCUUUUCCCAUUGUACCUUCACCACUAAGCUUGGUCUCUGGCAUAACAACCUAUCUAGACCUGGUUUCCAGGCUGUGUUAGUUGCUCAGUCGU
rnacentral:lncRNA from 1 species